AAACUCCCUCUCUACACUAUUCGUUAUCCAUCUUCCCACCUCAUCUCAUUUAAAAAAAAAAUCAAAAAAACUUACUAUAUAAGAGAGACUACAGGAAAGAGGGUGUCAAUUUCAUGACAUGAAUUCUCUCUUUCAAGUUCUAAGGAUGUGAAGAAAAGCAAAAGUAACACAAAAACAACUCAUAAAACUUUACUCAAACCAUAAUGCCUCAUAACUUGUUACUACGUCGAAU
rnacentral:lncRNA from 1 species